rnacentral:rRNA from 1 species
AGAGUUUGAUCAUGGCUCAGAUUGAACGCUGGCGGCAGGCCUAACACAUGCAAGUCGAACGGUAACAGGAAGCAGCUUGCUGCUUUGCUGACGAGUGGCGGACGGGUGAGUAAUGUCUGGGAAACUGCCUGAUGGAGGGGGAUAACUACUGGAAACGGUAGCUAAUACCGCAUAACGUCGCAAGACCAAAGAGGGGGACCUUCGGGCCUCUUGCCAUCAGAUGUGCCCAGAUGGGAUUAGCUUGUUGGUGGGGUAACGGCUCACCAAGGCGACGAUCCCUAGCUGGUCUGAGAGGAUGACCAGCCACACUGGAACUGAGACACGGUCCAGACUCCUACGGGAGCAGCAGUGGGGAAUAUUGCACAAUGGGCGCAAGCCUGAUGCAGCCAUGCCGCGUGUAUGAAGAAGGCCUUCGGGUUGUAAAGUACUUUCAGCGGGGAGGAAGGUGCUGUGGUUAAUAACCGCAGCAAUUGACGUUACCCGCAGAAGAAGCACCGGCUAACUCCGUGCCAGCAGCCGCGGUAAUACGGAGGGUGCAAGCGUUAAUCGGAAUUACUGGGCGUAAAGCGCACGCAGGCGGUCUGUUAAGUCAGAUGUGAAAUCCCCGGCUCAACCUGGGAACUGCAUCUGAUACUGGCAGGCUUGAGUCUCGUAGAGGGGGUAGAAUUCCAGGUGUAGCGGUGAAAUGCGUAGAGAUCUGGAGAAUACCGGUGGCGAAGGCGGCCCCCUGGACGAAGACUGACGCUCAGGUGCGAAAGCGUGGGGAGCAAACAGGAUUAGAUACCCUGGUAGUCCACGCCGUAAACGAUGUCGACUUGGAGGUUGUGCCCUUGAGGCGUGGCUUCCGGAGCUAACGCGUUAAGUCGACCGCCUGGGGAGUACGGCCGCAAGGUUAAAACUCAAAUGAAUUGACGGGGGCCCGCACAAGCGGUGGAGCAUGUGGUUUAAUUCGAUGCAACGCGAAGAACCUUACCUGGUCUUGACAUCCACGGAAGUUUUCAGAGAUGAGAAUGUGCCUUCGGGAACCGUGAGACAGGUGCUGCAUGGCUGUCGUCAGCUCGUGUUGUGAAAUGUUGGGUUAAGUCCCGCAACGAGCGCAACCCUUAUCCUUUGUUGCCAGCGGUCCGGCCGGGAACUCAAAGGAGACUGCCAGUGAUAAACUGGAGGAAGGUGGGGAUGACGUCAAGUCAUCAUGGCCCUUACGACCAGGGCUACACACGUGCUACAAUGGCAUAUACAAAGAGAAGCGACCUCGCGAGAGCAAGCGGACCUCAUAAAGUAUGUCGUAGUCCGGAUUGGAGUCUGCAACUCGACUCCAUGAAGUCGGAAUCGCUAGUAAUCGUGGAUCAGAAUGCCACGGUGAAUACGUUCCCGGGCCUUGUACACACCGCCCGUCACACCAUGGGAGUGGGUUGCAAAAGAAGUAGGUAGCUUAACCUUCGGGAGGGCGCUUACCACUUUGUGAUUCAUGACUGGGGUGAAGUCGUAACAAGGUAACCGUAGGGGAACCUGCGGUUGGAUCACCU